rnacentral:antisense_RNA from 1 species
GGCUGAGCAGUGGAGCGGGAAAGGGCGCGGGACCCGGGACUGUAACCGCCACUUCCCGGCCCUCGCUCCCCGCGCUUGGAGCCCUCAAGGGCCUUCUCAGGGAUCCCCGAGAGCCUUAAAACAGAAGUCUCUGGAACCUGUGUCCUCUCCCUGUCUGUCCCGCCCUCGAAUCCCUGUGUCCUCCUCACCCGCUCCCUCCUGCAUCGUCUCUGCCUUGAACCUUGGAAACAAGUGCUUUCAACAUAAGCGAUGUAAAGGCAUUAAAACAUGUUGAAUGGCUGUGUGCACAGGAUAUCCUACACCUGCCUGACAUCUGGAAUGCAGGUGAAUCAGUCUGACCUGAUGGAGCCACCCACACUUUAGAAGAAUCUCAAAUACAGCCAACCCUGAUCUUCUUCAGCUGAAAAUCAUCCAUCUACCAAACUCACAAAUUAAACAUAACGUGAAUAUUAUUACGUUAUGCCUUGUGUUGUGGUGUUAGGCAUGCACAGAUCUGGGUUUAUCCCCUUGUGCUAGACAGUAGGUCACUUGGUUUGAGUCUGUCUGUUUCAGUGACCCUUUUCUCUAAAGCAUUUAGUUAACAUGAUGGCUGACAUCAGCGAGAACUCAGUAAAUGUGGAUUAAAUGAGAAAAUUCAAAAGAAUGAUUACUUACCUUUUUAAAGUUAUCAAUGAAUUCUAUACAAAUAACAACUUAAAGGUCACUAUGUUUCCAGGAAGUUUGGGUGGAGAGCAGAGGAUUGGUUUUCUAGACAGAGAACUUGUUAGACUGAAACAAAUCUUUCUGUGGAAAGUGUUGGGGUGCUAGCCUGAAUCCUGGCUGCUAUAGGGUCCCUGCCUCUUUCUUGGGCCCCUGACCUUAGAAGAAUCUUCCUUCAGAUAAGAAGAGGAGGCAGCUCCAAGUUUACGGCAAACCACCAGCCUCACACACCACUCCCAACCCACCCUUUUUCCAGACUUUAAAACAUCCCAGAAAAGGAUCAUGGUUGCUCCAGCCUGGACCAUGAGCUGCUGAGCAGUCGCUGAAAAUCCCUUCAACAAAAUGACAUAGCUGAUGUGAGUAAAUAGUAAUUCCUUGAAGGAAGAGAAAUUCUAUUUCCAGGGGAAUGACUGCUUGACAGAUAAAAAGAGACACAAGUAUCCCCACAUCUUGGAAUUUGACCUCUAGCCGCCACAAUUGACCAUAUUUGUCAUCACCUUCUUCUUGUCCAGCUGAACUCCUAAACCUGCCACCCCACCCCUAGCUAAGCUAAUAACAUGAAACUGUGCCCCAAAAGAUAGUGAAUAUUUACUGAAAUGCAAAACCAAGAGUUAUAAACUAUAGCCACAGACAAGACUUCUUAAAUGCAGGAAGUUUUGAAUAAGUGGGCACAAGUUAAUACAAUUAAAGAAAAACAAUAUUUGAUAUUUUGGACAUGAGCCCAAUGUGCUGGCGUAUAUGUGUGUGUGAGUGGGCGGGUGGAUGGGGGAAAUCCCACUAAUGAUGGGUGUCAUCAGGAAAGAAAAUCCAAAAACAAAACUACCAUUCAUUUGUACAAUUAACAAUUAGAAAGUGACAAAUGUUUAAUAAUACACUUGGAGUGAUACAUGGUUGUACCUGACCUCAGAAAACUCAUGGCACAACUAAGAAGACAGAGACAUAGACAUAAACAUGUCACAUAGCUUGAGUUCUAGUUGGAGGAUUAAAAGUAUUGUACAAGUACAGAGAUCUAAGAGUUCUGCAGAAGAAAGAUGAUUUUUUAUAAGAAAGUUCCUCGGAGUGGGUCAUUUGAGCUGGGAUUUGAAGGCUAAAUAGGAGUAUGUCAGGUGUGCUUCAUAUCAGCAACUAACAAAAUCAAAGAGACAGAGAAACUGCUGUAGUUGUUAAAGUGACCCCAUCUCUACAAAAACUACAAAAGUUAUCCACGGGUGGUGACACACCCCUGUGGUCCCAGCUACUUAGGGGUGCUGAGGUGGGAGGAUGACUUGAGCCCAGGAGGUUGAGUGUGCAGUGAGCUGUGAUUGUACCACUGCACUCCAGCCUGAGUGACAGAGCGAGACCCUGUCUCAAAGAAAAAAAAAAAAAAA